rnacentral:lncRNA from 1 species
GAACCUCGCAAUUUACAUAGGUCCAGUGUGUUACACAACCACCACAACUGAAUAUAUAAACAAUCAUACAUUCAUACACCAUUCACCAACAUUUUCACAUUCAGAAUCUUAAUCAUAAAUCCACGACUAUUAGUUUAAAAUGUUUCCUACCCGAAAACUAGUUUUGAAAUACUAAAUCACGAAAAACCAUGAGAAAAUCUUUUAAAACUAUUUUCCUCACGGAAACUCUUUUCUUUUUAAAAUACGCUACCACGAGGGGUAGAAAAUCAUUUCCAUUUCACGAAAAUUCAUAAAUCCUUU